UGUUUUACUCAGGCUCGAACCGAAACAAGAUUUUAAUUCUCUGACCCUCAACUGACAGUGCCCAGCUGCAAGUGGGGGGCAGCUGGCCCAAGGGUAAAGAUUUGCCAUGGACCCUCUCACCCCUGGAAACAAAUUCAAGGUAUCUUUCUUCAUCUUGGUGCUUAGGACUUAUCUUCAUCUCCAUUUUAUGGCAAAUUUUUUCCUUUGUUAAAAAGUUAUGUAAUUUUGAAUAGAUAAAAAAUGUUUAAGUGUAAAAUUUAAAAGACAGAAAAAUAUAUAUGGGGUAGCUAAGGCUCUCCCUCCUCCUGUUUCCCAGACUCUCAGCCCUUGUCUUUGGAGGCUCCUGGUGUGUUGCCAUCAAUACGACCUUCAUGUAUUCUCUGUGCAUCAAAUACAAAUGCUUGUAUAUAUUUUCUCCCUUUAUACACCAUGGCAGCCGUUGUAGAAACUCCCUGUGCUGCCCCCUGGCACGCUUCUCAGUGCGCCUUCCAUGUGAAUAAUAAAGAA
rnacentral:lncRNA from 1 species